CUGUGAUUGUUUAUUGUUUCGUUUUUUUUUUUUUUUUGGGGGGUUUUUUUUUUUUUCCCCU
rnacentral:ribozyme from 13 species